rnacentral:lncRNA from 1 species
CACACAUCCAAAGCACAGAACUCACAGUGGAUUAGCAACCGCCCGGGGCUGGGGGCGUGGAGGUAAACGGGGAGUGACUCUAGCAGGUACCCGCUUUCUUUUCGGGGUGAUGAAAACGUCGCAGAACCGGAGGUGGGGCUGAUUGCCCAGCCCUGCGAAUACACGGAAACCCACGGACUCUAACACCGUGAGUGGGUGGAUGUUCUAGUACGUGAGUAACAGCUCAAUAAAGCUGCUUGAAACAUCCAAAGGAUAUAGAAGAGAAACAACGGAUGGAGCUCGAUGAACUUGCACAAAGUGAAACGGAAAUGAGCUCCAGCUCCAGCUCAUUUUCUGCACCCUUCCCCUAUUCCUAAAAGGUAAUCGCUAUCUUGACCUUGAACAGGAUGCUAGUUCUGCCUGUUGCAGGCCUUCUCGUGAGCAGGCUCAUUUGGUGUGCAUCCCGUCAUGUCUGGCUUCUGUCACCCAGUGCUGUGAGAUUCACCCAUGUGGGUAUCUGGCUGGGGGUCCACCUUCACGGCUGCCAACCCUCCACGUGUGAACACACAAUGAUCCAUUCAUCUGUGCUGCUGGGCGUCUGGGCCCAGCUGUGUUGGAGCUGCUCCCACGAGAGCUGCCGUGGACGUUCUCCUGGGACGUGUCUGCUGGUCAGAGGACUCACCCUGCUGACACCCCAAAGAACUCUGAAACUCAUCAGCAGUAAUGUAAAAAUAUCCGGUAACAGAAUGGAGUGGGAGACCCUGGCCGGAUCCAACAAGGUUGGAGGCGUCGGCACCAAUCGCGGCAAUGCGGGUGUCUGAGGAAGAUUUAGGGGCACCAGGACCUUUCAGCGUCCCCGAAACACUCUCUGCACAGAAGCAGACCUGCAGAAUGAUGUCAUCAACCACGCUGAGCCCAGGAGCUAAAAACAGAUGAACUGUUUCUAGAACAGGGACCUUUCUCGUCUCCCCCUCGGCGCUCUUAAGGUUAUAAAGUGGGUCUUCAUGUUGAAAUAAACAAUGUUAAAACAAAAGCUCACCAGUCCUCAGGGUGAUCUUGCCUGGACAUGAUGCUCGCCUGGAGAUGUGGCUGUGGUAGAGACCACAGAUACGGGAUGAUUCGGAACCUGAUGCUCAGACAGCUUUGUUUGGGACGUCAGGUCUUUCAAUUUUCAUUUGAUUUAGCUGCCAGCAUUUA